GACGCUGCAGAGUCCAAGGCCAUUCAGGGCAUGGCAUGUCGGAGGAGAAUCUGCCUUGGAAUAAAUCACAUGGCCUGAACUUGGUGACUCACUGAAGCACACAGUGAGGCUACGUCACACCUGCUAUCCCAGAGUUUAGAAAGAUGAGGCGGGAAGAUGGUGAACUCAAGACUAGUGUGAGCGAUACCAUGAAUUCUCAGCUAGAACAAACCCAACAGCUCGGCGGUUAAGAUCACACACUGCUCCUGUGGAGAACCCAAGUUCUAGUCCCAGUACCCACAAUGGGUGGCUUACACAUACCUGUAACUCCAGCUCCUCGGGACCAGUGCACGGACACUUCCUUGUCCGUGUGUAUAAUUAGAACUUAAUAAAAUAAAAUAAACAACCAAGAGCUGA
rnacentral:lncRNA from 1 species